rnacentral:rRNA from 1 species
GUCAGGAUGAACGCUAGCUACAGGCUUAACACAUGCAAGUCGAGGGGCAGCGAGAGGAAAGCUUGCUUUCCUGUCGGCGACCGGCGCACGGGUGAGUAACGCGUAUCCAACCCUUCCCCAUAGUAGAGGAUAGCCCGGCGAAAGUCGGAUUAAUACUCUAUGUUGUACAACGAGGACAUCUGAAUUGUACCAAAGAUUCAUCGCUAUGGGAUGGGGAUGCGUCUGAUUAGCUUGUUGGCGGGGUAACGGCCCACCAAGGCGACGAUCAGUAGGGGUUCUGAGAGGAAGGUCCCCCACAUUGGUACUGAGACACGGACCAAACUCCUACGGGAGGCAGCAGUGAGGAAUAUUGGUCAAUGGACGAGAGUCUGAACCAGCCAAGUAGCGUGCAAGGAUGACUGCCCUAUGGGUUGUAAACUGCUUUUAUGCGGGAAUAAAGUCAGGUACGUGUACCUGUUUGUAUGUACCGCAUGAAUAAGGACCGGCUAAUUCCGUGCCAGCCGCAGC